rnacentral:rRNA from 1 species
GAUGAACGCUGGCGGCGUGCCUAAUACAUGCAAGUCGAGCGAACAGACGAGGAGCUUGCUCCUUUGACGUUAGCGGCGGACGGGUGAGUAACACGUGGGUAACCUACCUAUAAGACUGGGAUAACUUCGGGAAACCGGAGCUAAUACCGGAUAAUAUUUCGAACCGCAUGGUUCGAUAGUGAAAGAUGGCUUUGCUAUCACUUAUAGAUGGACCUGCGCCGUAUUAGCUAGUUGGUAAGGUAACGGCUUACCAAGGCAACGAUACGUAGCCGACCUGAGAGGGUGAUCGGCCACACUAGAACUGAGACACGGUACAGACUCCUACGGGAGGCAGCAGUAGGGAAUCUUCCGCAAUGGGCGAAAGCCUGACGGAGCAACGCCGCGUGAGUGAUGAAGGUCUUCGGAUCGUAAAACUCUGUUAUUAGGGAAGAACAAACGUGUAAGUAACUGUGCACGUCUUGACGGUACCUAAUCAGAAAGCCACGGCUAACUACGUG